rnacentral:rRNA from 1 species
AACGAACGCUGGCGGCAUGCCUAACACAUGCAAGUCGAACGAGACCUUCGGGUCUAGUGGCGCACGGGUGCGUAACGCGUGGGAAUCUGCCCUUUGCUUCGGAAUAACAGUUAGAAAUGACUGCUAAUACCGGAUGAUGUCUUCGGACCAAAAGAUUUAUCGGCAAAGGAUGAGCCCGCGUAAGGAUUAGGUAGUUGGUGGGGUAAAGGCCUACCAAGCGACGAUCCUUAGCUGGUCUGAGAGGAUGAUCAGCCACACUGGGACUGAGACACGGCCCAGACUCCUAGGGAGGCAGCAGUUGGGGGAAUAUUGGACAAUGGGCGG